rnacentral:rRNA from 1 species
GCUUUGAAGUGUGGACGCCAGUCUGCAUGGAGCCGGCCUUGAAAUACCACCCUUUAAUGUUUGAUGUUCUAACGUGGACCCGUGAUCCGGGUUGCGGACAGUGUCUGGUGGGUAGUUUGACUGGGGCGGUCUCCUCCUAAAGAGUAACGGAGGAGCACGAAGGUUGGCUAAUCCUGGUCGGACAUCAGGAGGUUAGUGCAAUGGCAUAAGCCAGCUUGACUGCGAGCGUGACGGCGCGAGCAGGUGCGAAAGCAGGUCAUAGUGAUCCGGUGGUUCUGAAUGGAAGGGCCAUCGCUCAACGGAUAAAAGGUACUCCGGGGAUAACAGGCUGAUACCGCCCAAGAGUUCAUAUCGACGGCGGUGUUUGGCACCUCGAUGUCGGCUCAUCACAUCCUGGGGCUGAAGUAGGUCCCAAGGGUAUGGCUGUUCGCCAUUUAAAGUGGUACGCGAGCUGGGUUUAGAACGUCGUGAGACAGUUCGGUCCCUAUCUGCCGUGGGCGCUGGAGAACUGAGGGGGGCUGCUCCUAGUACGAGAGGACCGGAGUGGACGCAUCACUGGUGUUCGGGUUGUCAUGCCAAUGGCACUGCCCGGUAGCUAAAUGCGGAAGAGAUAAGUGCUGAAAGCAUCUAAGCACGAAACUUGCCCCGAGAUGAGUUCUCCCUGACCCUUUAAGGGUCCUGAAGGAACGUUGAAGACGACGACGUUGAUAGGCCGGGUGUGUAAGCGCAGCGAUGCGUUGAGCUAACCGGUACUAAUGAACCGUGAGG